UUUCCUUACCACCCCCAAAAAUCAUCUGUCCCAUGUCCCAAAUCACAAGCUAGGGUAAAAAUAAAGAGGAGGCAUAACGACUUUACAAGAAUAGAGUCGGUUUUCAACACUGAGAGGUCACGUAACUCCGUCACCGUUCCGUCCAUAGAGUUUUAAAUAUCGAUAGUUAGGUUUCUUGAAUCGCCAAAAUAAUUAAAGUUUUUGAUUUAGAAAGAGAAAUGAAGUAGUUGAUGAUGCCCAAACCCAUGAUGUCUUCUUCGUUUCCCUCCUACAAACGUCACCACCGAUCAUAUUCAAAAGGUUUUAUAUUCCCCUUUGAUAUUCAACUAACUUGUGGUUCGAAUUUGUUUUUGAUUUUGAAGUUUACAUGUUUAUUUUUUUUUCUGUUCCUGAUUAAAGCUUGUAAAUUCGAGAUUCUGAAUGUGGAUAAUUAGGGUUUUUAUUGCUUGCUGGUAGAUGAGAAGAAUAAUAUGGUUGAAGUGCAGAUUAAGUUCGAGUGGCUAUAUCUUUAAAGUUCACAUUAGCACUCGAGAAUCUUCAAAGGUGUUUCAUAUUCUGCGAAGGAUUUAAUAAAGCAAACUAUUUUGACGAUGUUAAGAGUUGCUUCCGCCGGAUUAGUUCUCCGUUAUGGUCAGAGUUUUGACACAUCCUCUCGAUUGAUUACUGUCCUCUUCGUUAAUCACCGGAUGGCCACGUGUAUGUUGUGCAGUUGAUUGUUAAGGUUUAUAAGGUAUUGGGUUGAAAAAUGGUAAACCAAACAAUCAAGAAGCAAUCAAGUGUUCUUGUGCAAUUGUAGAGGAGGCUAAAUGGAAAGAUGCCUUGAAAACUUAUUGCUGUUUGGGGAAACAGAAAAAGGUCACAAGUUAAAUGAAUAGAGACAUUUUCAUUUGUAUAUAUUUUGAAUCCAUUUGUAUUUGAAAUUAUUUAUCUAUGAUAUUAUAGAUACAUUUGGUUUCAUUUGUCU